GCGAUAGUGGCUCAGUUGGUAGAGUACGACCUUGCCAAGGUCGGGGUCGCGGGUUCGAAUCCCGUCUAUCGCUCUA
rnacentral:tRNA from 1 species